rnacentral:lncRNA from 7 species
GGAGUACGUACCAAGGGACAGUUUGUGAGACUCUGGUAGGUCCGUGACUGAGGGCACCCUUGUGGGAUGCUGAGUGUAGCCAUCAGGAAGCUGGGUCCCAGCCAACUCAGCCUGGGCUCUGCCGUUCUCCAGUGGUCAGAUAAGAAAGAGCGGUGUGGUCCUCUAAGGGAGUGAGCGAGGACUGCAGCUGCUUUGAGCCCUGGCCAGAGCCUCCAAUCAACCUUUGGUUCUGAUAAAGACAAGAAACCCAAGCCCCUCCCUCCCCACUGCUGAUAUAACAGCAUGAAAUUAAACCUAUUCCAGUCUGUGACAUCUGAUCCCUUUGACAUGACAUAGUACAACCUGUAGAGCCAGAGGUGGGGGCCAGGAAGCCCUGUUCUAGUCUCUCUGCACAACCUUGAGCCAUCUCAUCAUCUGCACAUCUGCCUGAACCUCAGUCUCCCACUCUGGACGUUGUCGGGGUGAUGGAGCAAGCAUUCAGUUAUUCUCUGCUGGAUUCUGAUGUGGUCUAAAGUCCACACUUUGUUGUGAAACACCGCAAUCUGUGAUGUACAGAACCUAUUACUGCGGCCACCCAGGAAUGCUGGGGGCAGGCCUUUUGAGAAGGUGAAUCAGCGUGUGUUAGCUCAGGGCAGAGGGCCUGGCGGUGAGACGUGAGAACAGCCAAUGUCAUGGCGGUGGGGGAGUGGACGUGAGCCAUCUGGGGCCCAGCAAACAGCAUGUUGAAAAAAACGAGGAACUCAAAGGCAGAUGAGCCUACCACGCUGGGAACAGUUGGGAGUACAUUGCUCAAGCCCCGGCCAGUUUUAUGUCACUGCUGGUGUGAAGCAGUGAACAGUGACCCAGCAUGCAUCCAGGUGGCGGGACAGAGUCAGACUCUCCAGGGCAGAGAGACU